AUUGAACGCUGGCGGCAGGCCUAACACAUGCAAGUCGAACGAGUGGCGGACGGGUGAGUAAUGUCUGGGAAACUGCCUGAUGGAGGGGGAUAACUCCUGGAAACGGUAGCUAAUACCGCAUACCCUCAGAUGUGCCCAGAUUGGAUUAGCUAGUUGGUGGGGUAACGGUUCACCAAGGCGACGAUCCCUAGCUGGUCUGAGAGGAUGACCGACCAAACGGGAACUGAGACACGUUCCAGACUCUGACGGGAGGCAGCAGUGGGGAAUAUUGCACAAUGGGCGCAAGCCUGAUGCAGCCAUGCCGCGUGUAUGAAGAAGGCCUGCGGGUUGUAAAGUACUUUCAGCGGGGAGGCGUUACCCGCAGAAGAAGCACCGGCUAACUCCGUGCCAGCAGCCGCGGUAAUUC
rnacentral:rRNA from 1 species